CCUACGGGAGGCAGCAGUGGGGGAUAUUGCACAAUGGGGGGAACCCUGAUGCAGCGACGCCGCGUGGGUGAAGGAGCGUUUCGGCGCGUAAAGCCCUAUCGGCAGGGAAGAAGAUGACGGUACCUGACCAAGAAGCCCCGUCUAACUACGUGCCAGCAGCCGCGGUAAUACGUAGGGGGCAAGCGUUAUCCGGAUUUACUGGGGGUACAGGGGGCGCAGACGGCAAUGCAAGCCAGGAGUGAAAGCCCGGGGCCCCACCCCGGGACUGCUCUUGGAACUGCAUGGCUGGAGUAGAGGAGGGGAAGGCGGAAUUCGUGGUGUAGCGGUGAAAUGCGUAGAUAUUAGGAGGAACACCGGUGGCGAAGGCGGCCUGCUGGACUGUGACUGACGUUGAGGCCCGAAGGCGUGGGGAGUAAACAGGAUUAGAUACCCCUGUAGUC
rnacentral:rRNA from 1 species